ensembl:lncRNA
UCGCUGUCGAGCCGGUAAGUUGGUCCCUCGCAUGCUCCCUAGCUAACAUGCUAAUGAACAGUUAGCUCACAUUGUUUAUUCUGGUAAACCGCUAUAAAAGCUGGAUGACACGAGGUGUCCUUUCCGAGGACACUAACCCCUCUAUGUUCAUCGAGUAAGUCAUGUUGAUAUGUUUAUUAGUUUUGUAAAGUUAGUCUGCCGCACGCUGUCUAAAUGGUAGAAAAACUUGCUGCCAUAGUAAAAUGAACUAUGAAACGGUAAAAUGAACUAUGAAACGGUAAAGCGAACUGAAACGGUAAAGCGAACUAUGAAACGGUAAAGCGAACUAUGAAACGAUAAAGCGAACUAUGAAACGGUAAAGCAAACUAUGAAACGGUAACUAUGAAACGGUAAAGCGAACUAUGAAACGGUAAAGCGAACUAUGAAACGCGAACUAUGAAACGAUAAAGCGAACUAUGAAACGGUAAAGCAAACUAUGAAACGGUAACUAUGAAACGGUAAAGCGAACUAUGAAACGGUAAAGCAAACUAUGAAACGCGAACUAUGAAACGGUAAAGCAAACUAUGAAACGGUAAAGCAAACUAUGAAACGGUAACUAUGAAACGGUAAAGCGAACUAUGAAACGGUAACUAUGAAACGGUAAAGCGAACUAUGAAACGGUAAA